UACAUAUAUUUAGAUAUACAUAUUAUUUAUUGUGUGUAUAUGUGUAUAUUUGUGUGUGUGUGCGUGUAAUCUUUUCACCAAAGAGACCUACAAAUUUGUUGAAUAUUAUCUUUGGUUAAAAAAAAAAAAAAAAACUUUAGACAAAUUAAAUUUAACAGAGAUUCACUGAGCAAAGAACAAUUUGAAAAUGGGGUAGCCCACGGAACCAGAAUAGGCUCAAAGUGACUCCGGGGUCGCCACAUGAUUGAAUGACAUUUACAGACGGAAAAAGGAAAGUAACAUACACAAAGUAGGAGCAAUGUACAGAAACAUCUGGAUUGGCUACAUGUGGGUGUUUGCUUUAGUUGAGCCUGGUUUGUAUAGUUGGCUGCCUGUAGUUGACUCAAGUUCAGCUGCAGGGAUUGGCUGAGGCUCAGCUACUUAUGACAAGAGUAGGUUGCAAUCUGUUUACACAUCAAGUUGGGUUACAGUUUAUUGUGUAUGGAAAAACCUUUUGGCCAAGUGUAAUUUAACCAUUUCCCCUUUUGUCAACUUCUUAAUUGAAAACGAUUAAAGAAAAUCUUAGGCAUUGAGGUCACUCUGUCAUCAUUGUAAAUGGACUUAUUUGGUCUCAAAUCCCUUUGGAGAAUGGCAGAACAGUGGGUUUUGUAGGUGGGAACAAGGAAACCGAACAGCAGGAAAAAAUGCUGGGGAGCAUCAGGUCUCUUCAGAUUUCUUUUUUGUAAGAGAGCAGAGGAGGCUUCCCUAUUAUCCUAAAAUCUCCUGUUUGAGAGAGGAAAACAAAAAUGGGCCUGUUUUGAGAUUUAUUUCCUUAAAGUUUUAGUUUUAUUAUGUGGCAUUUAACAUGAGUGACUUCAUUUUUAUUUGGUCUAGUCUGUUGGGACCUAGUGCCGGAGCUCAGUCCAAAACAGUGACCUCCAAUAAUUUUGUUUAGAAAUUUCUCCCUUUCGAUCAGGAUCUCAUCUAGGUGUGCAUGUGACCAAAACUUAGGGCAUUAGCACUGUUCUCAGUUACCAUCAUUUUAGCUUGCCAGUCUCACUAUAUCAUUCAUAGGUUAUGGUGUCCUCAUGAAUGCAAAUUUCUUUAACAUUUUGUCUUCCAAUCAAAGAAAGUCUAUUUAACAUUCUACAGAUGUCUGCAUGCAAACAUUUAAAACUUUUGAGAGAAUACAGUUCACCAGAAAGACUAUUAUUAUGACUAUCAAAAGGACAAUACCAAAUAUGCUGCUUAGCCAGGGUCCCCAUAAACCAAAACAACUAAAAUUAAAUAGAUGAAAGAAUGUGCCAGAUGAAAAGUGUACCUAUUUUAACCAAGCAGCCUGUUUGUUAAUCCCUUGCAACCAAGUCUCUAAUACCUGACGUAUUCCUCCAUGUGUAACAAGAAGUGUGAGCAAUUGCAGAUUCUUUCCUGUUCAGCUAACAGGUAAUUUAGAGCAGUUCUAUUAUUUAGUACAACUUUAACAAGAGAAUGUAAAGAAAUCUGCUCUGCAAUUACAGCCUUUGCAAUAGAAUCUACUAUAGAGCCUAUUAUGAAGGAUACAUCUCUAAUUAUUGCCUCUUUUAUUAUAUAUUUACUCCAAGCUCUGGAAAAGGGGGCCUAACAAAUGAUGCACAUCUAGAAGGGUGAAGAGCUCCUGACAAUUUUCUCUUUAAUGUAUGAUGUAAGGUAAGAGGAGUGGACCCGUGCUCUGUUUCUACUGAUUUGGAGCAGCAGCGAAGAAUUUGAAGCCCACAUUGGCCCUUCAUCUUCAAUCCAACAAGACAUAAUGUUGCCAUGGAUUAGAUGGGCUGUGAAAUCCUCUAUAAAUAAAACUAUAACCCUUGGGUGAACACGAAGACCUAUUGCUCACAUAUACAUUAUAACAGUUUCUGGCCAAGAGUCUGAGACAGAAUUACUACAGGUUAAAAUAACAUUGUGGUACCGCGGCAUAUAGUUAAUUUGCAAAAAACUCCAUUUGAGUAAGUCUGUUUUGUAAUAUACUCAUUGGUCUGGCUCUGCAUACCAUUAAAACAGAGAAUACCAACAAGUUGGUUGAGAAAUCUUACCACUGCUACAAUUCGGACAACAGUUACAUUAAGGAUGUUACUAAAGUAACCCACAAAGUAAAUUACAGGAUCCCUUAAGUCAUAUGAAGACCUGGGUUUGAUAUGACAGAUUCAACACUCUGUCAAGUUACUCACAGAUAUUACUAAUGGUGAAAUUUUAAUUACAGCAUUCUUCUGCUGCUUUGAUUUGGAUGAUUGUCCCCUUCAAAUCUCAUAUUGAAAUUUAAUCUCCAACGUUGGAUGUGCACCUAAUGGGAGGUUUUUGGGUCAUAGGAGUGGAUCCCUCAUGAAUAGAUUAAUGUCCUCUCAGAGGGUAUGGGAGGGAGAAGUGUGACUGAGUUAUUGUUCUAUUUUUUUCUCAUGAGUUCUGAUUGUUAAAAACAAAAACUAAAACUAAAGGAAAAAAAAGCCUGGCACCUCCCCUCUACUCUGUCCAGCAUCCUGUCUUGCCAUGUGAUCCCUGCACAUGCUCUACUUCACUUUCUGCCAUGAAUGGAAGCAGCUCGAGGCCUUCACCAGGAACAGAUGCUGGUGUCAUGCUUUCUCUCCAGCCUACAGAACUAUUUCACAAAUCUGAGUUACCUGGGAAGAUCUAAAGGGAAGUAAUUCCAAACAGGAUUUCCAUUCCACAUGGAAAUGUGACAAGAAGAAUUAAAAGGAGCAAAAUGAGGAUGGUGCUGUUAGAGAGAUGACUGCAAAGGAGGACCUGUCCAUUUACAAUUGCACUUGGAUUCAGUUGACAUCCAAUAACUACAUAUAUGUUGAGCAAACAGAUAGAUGGAUGGAUGGAUGACUGGAUAGAAGAUACAUUAAACUUUAUUCUGUCUAAACCUUAAUUAAAAGAUACUGGCAGGAGACAGGAGACUCCUGGUUUCGAGACAAAGAACUUCAUUAAUCAUGCAUGGCACAGCAAGCAGCAUGAGCAUCAACAUGUUUGAGUCGAUUUCUCUUGCUGCCCCCUCCCAAGUCCAUGGGGGUGGUGCAGAAUGCCCGGAUAGAUGCACAGUGGAUUUUGUUACAGGGGAGGAAUACUGCGCCUAGGAGAUCUACAAUUUUCAUAGUAAGCAGUAAGCAAGCCUGCUGCUUGUCAUGAAGACAUUACCUAAUCCCCUGAAGAUGCUGUCUGUAAACACAGCCUUGGGAAAUGGUUCCCUUAAAGAGCAGUCAGUGCCUUCCAUUCAUGGCAUACUGGCAAGACAUGCAGGAGGAGUCCAAGAGGUCUAUGAAGGACAUUCCCACAACAUCAGUCAGGAUCCAGAGUGCGAUGCUAGAAAUAUGUUUUGACUGAAGCAAGACGUCCAGUAUUUCUCCUUUCAAUAUUUUUUCCAUCUGCUUUCAAUCCAUCCAGGUAUCUUCAGGUUCUUAUACGGAGAUUCCCUUCUCGGGCAAGGGAAAAAUCCAUUUUGCAAUGGACAUAUUUCAGGGUGCUAGCUGUGAAAUGGGGUGCUGAUUGCUGAGUAGAAAAUACAGAAGACACAGUGUGAGAGGUGACAACAUGCUAGCAGCCCUUGCUCUCGGGGCCUCCUUGGUCUUGGCGUCCACUCUGGCCGUGCUUGCAGAGCCCUUCAGCCCACCACUGCACUGAGGGAGCCCCUCUCUGGGCUGACCCAGGCCGGAGCCGGCUGCCUCUGCUUGCAGGGAGGUGUGAAGGGAGAGGCACGGGCGGGAACCAGGGCUGCGCACCGUGCUUGUGGGACAGCGCGAGUUCCCGGUGUGCAUGGGCUUGGCGGGCCGCACUCAGAGUGGAGGCCCAGCACCCCUGGCCCCAGGCAGUGAGGGGCUUAGCAUGGGGGCCAGCAGCUGUGGAGGUUAUGCUAGGUCCCCCAGCAGUGAGGGCCCACCACCUGCAGUGCUAGAAUUCUCGCGGACCUCAGCUGCCUCCCCAUGGGGCAGGGCUCGGGAUCUGCACCCUGCCACACCCAAGCCUCCCCCAUGCUGUGGGCUCCUGCUCAGCAGAGCCUCCCCAAGGAGCACCAUCUCCUGCCCCACAGCACCUGGUCCCAUCCACUGCCCAAGGGCUGAGGAGUGCAGGCAAAUGGUGCUGGACUGGUGGGCAACUCCGCCUGCUGCCAGUGCCGGAUCCAGCAGGUGAAGCCAGCUGUGCUCCUGAGGCUAGUGGGGACUUGAAUCUUUGUGUCUAGCUAAGGGAUUGUAAAUACACCAAUCAGCACUCUGUGUCUAGCUCAAGGUUUGUAAACACA